rnacentral:rRNA from 1 species
CGGGUGAGUAAUGCGUGACCAACCUGCCCCAUGCUCCAGAAUAGCUCUUGGAAACGGGUGGUAAUGCUGGAUGCUCCAACUUGACGCAUGUCUUGUUGGGAAAGUGUUUAGUGGCAUGGGAUGGGGUCGCGUCCUAUCAGCUUGUAGGCGGGGUAAUGGCCCACCUAGGCUUCGACGGGUAGCCGGCCUGAGAGGGCGGACGGCCACAUUGGGACUGAGACACGGCCCAGACUCCUACGGGAGGCAGCAGCU